GUUGGGGGGAAUGUUGUUCGAUUCGAAACAAUUCCUUGAUGAUCAUACAUGCAGUAGUCAAUAUUUAUUGAUCUCGGAUUAGGCUUUAUUCCCCCAAC
rnacentral:pre_miRNA from 1 species